UGGGGAAUUUUGGACAAUGGGCGCAAGCCUGAUCCAGCCAUUCCGCGUGCAGGAUGAAGGCCUUCGGGUUGUAAACUGCUUUUGUACGGAACGAAACGGCGCUUUCUAAUACAGAGCGCUAAUGACGGUACCGUAAGAAUAAGCACCGGCUAACUACGUGCCAGCAGCCGCGGUAAUACGUAGGGUGCAAGCGUUAAUCGGAAUUACUGGGCGUAAAGCGUGCGCAGGCGGUGAUGUAAGACAGAUGUGAAAUCCCCGGGCUCAAACUGGGAACUGCAUUUGUGACUGCAUCGCUGAGGUGCGGCAGAGGGGGAUGGAAUUCCGCGUGUAGCAGUGAAAUGCGUAGAUAUGCGGAGGAACACCGAUGGCGAAGGCAAUCCCCUGGGCCUGCACUGACGCUCAUGCACGAAAGCGUGGGGAGCAAACAGG
rnacentral:rRNA from 1 species